rnacentral:tRNA from 1 species
GAAAGUGGUUUAACAUGGUGAGAGGCUGAAACCAGUCGUUUGCUAAAUGACCGUGCGGGGAAACUUGUACCGAGGGUUCGAAUCCCUCCUCUUCCGCCA